UAAGUAAGACAGACGAUCGCGGCCGGGCACGAAAGUGUCCGGGUGAGGAAAGUCCGGGCUUCAUAGGGCAGGAUGCCGGAUAACGUCCGGUGGAGGUGACUCCAAGGCCAGUGCAACAGAAAUAUACCGCCAUUUGGGAGAAAUCCCAAACAAAAAAGAAACGCGCAAGCGUUUUUGUAAGAAGAAUGCGCUAUGCGCAUUCUUUGAACGAAACACCUAGGUGUUUCGUUUGGUAAGGGUGGAAAGGCAGCUUAAGAGACUACCGUCCGUCCGGUAACGGGCGGAGCCAUGUAAACCCCAUCCGAAGCAAGACCAAAACGAAAGCGACAGGUCGGCCCGGCCUGCUUUCAGGUGGGUCGCUGGACGCGGCUGGUGACAGUCGUGCUAGAUAGAUGAUCGUCCGGGGAUCAGUGUGAUCCCUUUGACAUAACCCGGCUUAUCGUCUUGCUUACACA
rnacentral:RNase_P_RNA from 1 species